AUUUAACCUUAACAAGCUACAUCACCUCUUCUUCUGACAGAUGGGGCUGCAGAACUUGACUCUUGCUGGAAGCCUCAAGUUCAUCAGAAACAGUCGUGGCCCAUGUCUUUGAGGUUUGCUUCUAAGGUUAAGGUUCCAUAGCAAGUGGAGAAACCUUCAAUUGCCUUAGUGGAGUAAGAAGGACUAAGCAAAUCUCUAGUACAGAACCUUGCUGGGCUGAGAAGGAACCUCUCCUGCAGCCAAAGAGGGAGUAAGCAGAGGUCCCAGACCUCAGACCUGCCCUCUCACACCAGACCUUCUCUUCUGAGAAAAAGAGGAACCACCUAUUGCAAAUGGGCAGCAAAGUUUGGCUUUCAGGGUUAGAUGGAUGUGUCCUCCCAAGAGGCAACCUCGGGGUGGGGCUCCUUUGAUGGAUAUGUCACAGAAUGCAGGACAGUUCAUGAGUAAUGUUUCAAAGCCUUAUCUCAAAGACAAUAUAUGCAGCUGCUUUUAGUCAACCUACUGAUUAAAGG
rnacentral:lncRNA from 1 species